CUGCCCCAAGUCCUCGGGAGCUUGGGGCUCGAAGCCGCGGGGCAGCGAGAACAUUUUGCGGGGGCUGAGGCUGGCGAGGCGGCAGGCACUCGGCGUCCUCAGCAACCCCCGCUGCUCGCGCCGGAUCCGCGGCCGGCGGGUACUCCGGCGAACGAGUGGGAGUCGCCAUUUUCCCGGAAGAACAGUCUUCUUCUAACCGAAUCGAGCUUUAUUGAAACGCCGGAAACAAACACGGACAAGGAGGAGGGGUGGCCGGAGAGGCGGGAAGGAACGGAAGUUGCGGGGUGACGUCAGACGCCGGCGAGGCGCGCUUUCGAGUCACUUGUUCUUCCUCUGUGCAUCCGCUCUCCGCCUGUUACGUUCAGAAAGUAUUCGAAAUCUAUGCAACACAAAGAUGAGAUGAAGGAGGGGGAGAAUUUGAGAAGAAACUGGAGGCAGGGAUGGGACUGAGUAGCUUAGAACACUGGUCUCCAGGAGGCUGGUGCAGUGGGAGUGGAGAGGUGUGAAGCAAGUCACGAAGGAAAAAGCCAGCCCCGUACGAGUGAGUGAUUCCAGGACAAAGCAAUUCAUGGCUCAAAGUACGCGGGCCUCUCACUGUUGUGGCCUCUCCCGCCGUAGAGCACAGGCUCCGGACGUGCAGGCUCAGCAGCCAUGGCUCACGGGCCCAGCCGCUCCGCGGCAUGUGGGAUCCUCCCAGACCGGGGCACGAACCCGCGUCCCCUGCAUCGGCAGGCGGACUCUCAACCACUGCGCCACCAGGGAAGCCCCUUAUGCCUGUAUCUUAAUCAUCUCAGAAGUUUCAGGAGGAAUUACUAUCAAAAUCUAUCUAUCUUCCCAUUCUUGGUAAGGAAAUAGAUUCAAAGGGGUUAGAGAUUUGUCCAAAGCUAUAGAUCUAGCAAGAGGCAGAUCCAGGACCCAGACCCAGGUCUAAUUUCCAAGCCACUACUCUUAACCACAACUAGAGGAUCUAACUUUGAUGGGAAAAAACGAUGUAUUCAGCUAUGGAUAGGGUGGGUAUGAAGAUCAAGUGGGGCCCAGCAGGCGGCCGGGAAUGAGGACUUGUAUGCAAGAGAGAGGUCUGAACAGCGCAGCCACAGGGAAGAAAGAGGUAACUCCAUGAGACUGGAUGCCAUCUUUGCAGGAACGAGUGUUGCCAAGAUAGAACCCUUAGGAGCACCCAUGGUGGGGAUCUGGGGGCAGAAAGAGGAGCCAUCCAAGAAGAUGGAGGACAGGCCAGGGAAGUAGGGAAAGAACCAGGAGAGGAGAGUCCCACAGGAAGCAGAUAUUCUUCUGCUUAGGAAGAACCAUCAAAUCUACAGAGAGAUGGCUCCAUUCAACAAAUAUUGAUUGAGGGCCUGCCUGGUGUGAGGCCCUGCUCUUAGUCCCAGGAAGACUGCAGUUAGAUGUAAAUCCCUGCCCUCAUGGAGCUUACAUUCUAGUGAGGAGAGAGAGAAUAAACACUAAGAAGCAAAAUGUAAGCAAGAAUUGCCUCUUUCGAGUCCUUUCUCACUUGGUGUGGACCUUUCAUUCAUUCUGCCAGUGGAUGUUUAUUGAGCAUCAGGAAAAUGCUAGAGUAGGGGAUGGGAGCCUAGGGUUCCUGUCCACAGGAGUGCACAGUGCUGGCAGGGACAGGGAAAGUGGUCAGGGGAGGGGACAGGGUAAUACAAGGGGCUUAAUGGCUCUAUAAGAAAAGGCUGAUUUCAAUUUUUUUCAGGAGCACAUAAAAAUAGAGCAGCUCUAAUUGUAAGUCAAAUGCUAUUAGCAGUAGCAUAGCAUGUAAGACUUGCAGGUAUACGGAGAAAUGGGUUGUAGGUGCCAUACUGCUUUACAGCAGUACUGGGCUUUGUGCCCAGUGCCUGGAACACACUGGGAUGCCUCUGAUGUCACAGCUGACAGAGACCUCAUCAAUCACUGGGGCUUCCAGAGUUUUACACAGUGUCCAGAGGGUUCCAAACGACUAACAAACAGUUCAAUUGAAGAGCUCGAUACAUACUGAAGCACUACCCACUUGAUUAAGCUAGCAAUCCAUUUAAUAAAAUCACUUAACAGCCACCAAAAUAAAUAAGUUAAUGUCAUAGCACACUCAAAUUUACUUAUAUUUGAUACAGUGUCUGGAACAGGAUAGAAAGCCCAGAAAUAAACCCACACACCUAUGGUCAACUAACCUAUGAAAAGGAAGCAAGAAUAUAUAGUGGAGAAAAAGACACUCUCUUCAGUAAGUGGUGCUGGGAAAACUGGACAGCUACAUGUAAAAGAAUGAAAUUAGAACAUUCUCUAACACCAUACACAAAAAUAAACCCAAAAUGGAUCAAAGACCUAAAUGUAAGACCGGACACUAUAAAAUUCUUAGAGGAAAACACAGGCAGAACACUCUUUGACAUAAAUCAUAAAUCAUAAAUCACAGCAAUAUCUUUUUGGAUCUACCUCCUAGAGUAAUGAAAAUUUAAAAAAAUAAACAAAUGAGACCAAAUUAAACUUAAAAGCUUCUGCACAGCAAAGGAAACCAUGAACAAAAUGAAAAGACAACCCACAGAAUGGGAGAAAAUAUUUGCAAACAAAGCAACCGACAAGGGAUUAAUCUCCAAAAUAUACAAACGGCUCAUGCAACGCUAUGUCAAAAAAAACAACCCAAUCAAAAAAUGAGAAGACCUAAAUAGACAUUUCUCCAAAGAAGACAUACAGAUGGCCAAAAAGCACAUGAAAAGAUCACUCAUGUGAUCACUAAUUGUCAGAGAAAUGCAAAUCAAAACUACAAUGACAUUUCACACCAGUCAGAAUGGCCAUCAUCAAAGUUUACGAACAAUAAAUGCUGAAGAGAGUGUGGAGGAAAGGAAAUCCUCCUACAUUGUGUUGGUGGGGAUGUAAAUUGGUACAACCACUAUGGAAAACGGUAUGGACGUUCCUUAAAAAACUAAAAAUAGGGCUACCAUAUGACCCAGCAAUCCCACUCCUGGGCAUAUAUCUGGAGAAAACCAUAAUUCAAAAAGAUAUGUGCACCCCAAUGUUCAUUGCAGCACUAUUUACAACAGCUAAGACAUGGAAGCAACCUAAAUGUCCAUCAACAGAGGAAUGGAUAAAGAAGGUAUGGUACAUAUAUACAAUGUAAUAUUACUCAGCCAUAAAAAAGAAUGAAACUAUGCCAUUUGCAGCAACAUGGAUGGACCUAGAGAUUUUCAUACUAAGUGAAGUCAGAGAAUGACAAAUAUAUGAUAUCACUCAUGUGGAAUCUAAUUUUUUAAAAUGAUACAGAUGAACUUAUUUACAAAACAAACAGACUUACAGAUAUUGAAAACUUAUGGUUACCAAAAGGGAAAUGUGGGCAGAAGGGAUAAAUCAGGAGCUUGGGAUUAACAUACACACACUACUAUAUGUAAGACAGAUAACCAACAAGGACCUGCUGUAUAGCACAGGGUACUCUACUCAAUAUUAUGUGAUAACCUGUAUGAGAAGAGAAUCUGAAAAAGAAUGAAUAUAUGUAUAUAUAUAUAUAACAAUCACCUUGCUGUACACCUGAAAUUAACACAACAUUGUAAAUCAGCUA